AUUGAACGCUGGCGGCAGGCCUAACACAUGCAAGUCGAGCGGGCGUCGGACGGGUGCGUAAUGUAUGGGGACUGCCCGAUAGAGGGGGAUAACUACUGGACACGGUGGCUAAUACCGAAUCCUGUCGGAUAAGCCAUGUGGGAGUAGCUAGUCGGUAAGGUAAUGGCUUACCUGGGCGACGAUCCCUAGCUGGGCUGAGAGGAUGAUCAGCCACACUGGGACAGAGACACUGCCCAGAAUCCUACGGAGGCAGCAGUGGGGAAUAUUGCACAAUGGGCGCAAGCCUGAUGCAGCCAUGCCGCGUGUAUGAAGAAGGCCCUAGGGUUGUAAAGUACUUUCAGUCGGGAGGCGUUACCGACAGAAGAAGCACCGGCUAACUCCGUGCCAGCAGCCGCGGUAAUUC
rnacentral:rRNA from 1 species